rnacentral:rRNA from 1 species
AAUGGGCGCAAGCCUGAUCCAGCAAUGCCGCGUGUGUGAAGAAGGCCUGCGGGUUGUAAAGCACUUUCAGUGGGGAAGAACGGAUGCGGGCCAAUACCCCGGAUCGCUGACGUUACCCACAGAAGAAGCACCGGCUAACUCCGUGCCAGCAGCCGCGGUAAUACGUAGGGUGCGAGCGUUAAUCGGAAUUACUGGGCGUAAAGCGUGCGCAGGCGGCUACAUAAGACAGGUGUGAAAUCCCCGGGCUCAACCUGGGAAUGGCGCUUGUGACUGUGUGGCUUGAGUUCGGCAGAGGGGGGUGGAAUUCCACGUGUAGCAGUGAAAUGCGUAGAGAUGUGGAGGAACACCGAUGGCGAAGGCAGCCCCCUGGGCCGCGACUGACGCUCAUGCACGAAAGCGUGGGUAGCAAA